rnacentral:rRNA from 1 species
AUGGAUUUUUUUGAUAUGAUUUUUCCAUGGCAUUUCCUGGUAAUUUUUGCCAUGUCAUUUUCUGAUCAUACUUAUUUUUUCCAUGGCAAUUCUGUAUUUUUUGAGAGAUGGCAAAUUUUGAUAUACAUCUGCCACGUGUUUUUAAUUAAAAUGAUGAAAAGGAAAUUUUUGAUGUGCCAUGCCAUUUUGUUCAAAUGUUUUCCAUAUAAAAAUGGUUUUAUAUGUAUCAUGCUAAUUACAUUAUUUUUUCUCAUCAUGGCAAAAUUUUCAUCUUUAUCACGAUGGCAAAAUCUGGGCUUUAUUAGUCAUAGCCAAAUGUGA